rnacentral:misc_RNA from 1 species
CAGAGUUGCAAAACUCCCACAAACCAUCGCGAAUCUUACCCGUACGGUUGCCUCGGCGCUGGCGGUCCGGAAGGCCCUCGGGCCCCCGGAUCCUCGGUCUCCCGCUCGCGGGAGGCUGCCCGCCGGAGUGCCGAAACCAAACUCUUGAUAUUUAUGUCUCUCUGAGUAAACUUUUAAAUAAGUCA